rnacentral:misc_RNA from 1 species
GAUGAAGAACGUAGCGAAAUGCGAUACGUAAUGUGAAUUGCAGAAUUCAGUGAAUCAUCGAAUCUUUGAACGCAUAUUGCGCUCUCUGGUAUUCCGGAGAGCAUGCUUGUUUGAGUAUCAGUAAACACCUCAACUCCCUUUUCUUUUUUGAAAUUGGAGCUGGACUUGAGUGAUCCCAACGCUUUCUUCCAAGAAAGUGGCGGGUUGCUUGAAAUGCAGGUGCAGCUGAACUUUUCUCUGAGCUAUAAGCAUAUCUAUUUAGUCUGCCUAAAAAACAGAUUAUUACCUUUGCUGCAGCUAACAUAAAGGAGACUAGUUCUUGUGCUGACUGAUGCAGGAUUCACAGAGACAGCUUCGGCUGACUUUGUAAACUCGAUCUCAAAUCAAGUAAGACUACCCGCUGAACUUAAGAAUAUCAAUAAGCGGAGGA